rnacentral:lncRNA from 1 species
GAGGGCCUAGCCAGAACUCCCAGCCCCUGGUGCCAGGGCCUCUCUCCUGACCCUAGUGGGUCCUGUGACCUCUCGAAGGCUUUGAACAAGUAGCGGUUCCAGAGGGGUCAUGCUGGUGUCUUCCCCAUGCCUGGCCCAGGCCCCGCCCCCUCCUUGGGGUAGAGCUGCCAUGACCCUUGCAGCAUGGCCUUUGCCCAGUGGCCCAGACAGGGAGGUGUCCCCGCCAACUGUCAGGGCCACCCCUGCCCUUUCAGGGUCAUACGGUUCCAGGUGUGUGGCCUGUAUAGGGCCACGGGGUCUCAGUGGCUGUUGUGCUCCUGACCCCAGCCCAUCAGCUCCUCGAGGAUGGGGCCCUGCCCUUGGAGCCCAUGUCCAAGGCCCCACACAGGUCCCUGCAGCUGGCCGGAUUCUUGACACCUGCUGUGGCUCUGACACGGGGUCUCCGGGUCUCCCCGACCUGCAGAGUAGCACCUGAGCCUCGGCCAGUGUGGCUGAGGUCACCAGCCAAGCACUGGGUCUUGAGUGCGAGGAGGCCUGAGGCUUGUUGUCUGUCCCAGUCAAUUGCCACUAUGUGAAACCUACUGCAUCUUAAAU